CUUACCGAUUCUUCCCCCAACUUCUUCCCCGAUUCAUUUCGUCCCGAGCCUCACCAGCUACCGGCGAUCUUCCUAUUCUCCUCUCGGCAUCGCCGGCACAAAGAAACCCCCAGAGCUUUGAGGAAGCAAGCCACCAAUUCUUCUUCCUCUCCUCUCAUUUUCCUCUCUCUCGACUUCUCUCACGCAGGCGACCCGACGUCGACAGAGGGCGAGUUUUUCCCCGGCGAUCCCAUUCUCUCCGCAUCCCCGGUGGUAUGUCGCCGGAUCUCGACAGUACCGGCCAUCUUCACCUGAGAGGUCGUCUUCUCGGUGGUUUCUUGCUUGCGAUCGGCUGUUGUUCGGUGUCUAGGGCACGGCGGUGAGGGGUCGAUUCUCAUCAUUCCCGGCUGAUCGAGUCCUGUCUGAUUCCCUUCCUCAAUCGGUUCUCUGGAGUGCAUUCCGGAUCUCCACCAGAUGAGAUUGAUCGCGUGAUACCAACUAGAGGCGAUCGGUUGAGGGGAAAGCUUCGGAUCAACCUAGUGAUGGACCUCCCGUGAGCAGAUCUUCAUCUUCUUCAAUUCUUGCAACUGUUAAGGUUCCGGUGUAGAGGAGGAGACCUGUUUGAGGGCUUCUUGGAUAGCUUCCGGCAGAGGUCUUGUUGGGCUGUGAGAUUUGGAUUUUGCUACCAAACCUUAAGGUGUUGAUUUUGGGCAUCUAUUUGUGUUGGACCAGCUGUAAAUGGGUGGAGAAGCUCCAUUUUUCUCCACAGCAAACUUUGGAUUUCUUCAUCAAAGGGUGUGGAUUUUGUUUUGGAUCAAGGUGAGCUAACUAUGGAGUUUUGGUUGCAUUUAUGUGAUAUAUUGAUUUGGUUGAAUCUUGGAUUGAUUGGGGGAUUUAGAAGGAUUUAUGAAGAGUUUGGAUUAUGUUUGGAUUUAGGAGAAGUUGGAUUGAGGAUUAAUUGGAAGAUUAAUCAGAUAUUAGAUCUGGUUGGAGUGAACCUAAUUGGAUUAAGGGAUUAGGUUAAUUAUUUCGAUUGGGGUUUUUCCUAAUUAGAUUGGGGAGUUUAUUUAGUUAUUUGCUACCUAUGUAAUUAGCUAAAUAUAUUAGGUGA